UUGGAGGGCAAGUCUGGUGCCAGCAGCCGCGGUAAUUCCAGCUCCAAUAGCGUAUAUUAAAGUUGUUGCAGUUAAAAAGCUCGUAGUUGAAUUUCGGGGUCAAUAAGUUGGUCGUGCCAAUGGUAUGUACUGGCUUUAUUGAUUCCUACCUCUUGACGAACUGUGAUGCCAUUAAUUUGGUGUUGCAGGAAAUCAGGACUGUUACCUUGAAAAAAUUAGAGUGUUUAAAGCAGGCUUACGCUUGAAUACAUUAGCAUGGAAUAAUGAAAUAGGACGUUUGAACCUAUUUUGUUGGUUUCUAGGAUCGACGUAAUGAUUAAUAGGGAUAGUUGGGGGCAUUAGUAUUCAAUUGUCAGAGGUGAAAUUCUUGGAUUUAUUGAAGACUAACUACUGCGAAAGCAUUUGCCAAGGAUGUUUUCAUUAAUCAAGAACGAAAGCUAGGGGAUCGAAGACGAUCAGAUACCGUCGUAGUCUUAACCAUAAACUAUGCCGACUAGGGAUCGGAUGAUGUUAAUUUUUUAAUGACUCAUUCGGCGCCUUACAGGAAACCAAAGUGUUUGGGUUC
rnacentral:rRNA from 1 species